GGAUGCAUUUUGUGCAGAUGUCU
rnacentral:miRNA from 15 species